rnacentral:lncRNA from 1 species
GAAUCAGAUACACAAUGUGAAUUAAAACUCUAUUAGAAAUAGAAAAUAUCAUCACUUUUAUUGAUGAUUGUUCAAGUUAUAUUUUCAUACAUCUUAUGAAAAAUAAAAAUGAGUGAUGUUUUUGACAUGUUCCAAUUAUAUCGAACUGAAAUUGAAAAGUAAUUCAAUGAGAAAAUCAAAUGAUUUUGAUUGAGGCACAAAAGUAUGAUUCCCACAAUUUUC